GCUGGAAGUGGAAAGUAAGGAAGGUGCGUGAGGGGCGGAGGCGGGGGCGGGGACUGAAGGGGCGGGGCAUUGAAUGGGAGGGGUGGCUAGAAGGGUGAGCCCGCGCGUGCGCGAAAACCAAACUGAGAAGAAGAUAGCUGGUGUUCCGCGAGCUCUCGAAGAGGACAAGCUAGGAGCUAGCAGGACUUUUAAAGAAAUUUUGGAGGUGUCAUGAACGGACAUUUAAGAGCCUAUCAAGUGCUAAGUAUGAAGAUAAAAAUAAAGGGAAAGGGCAUUCCCUGCCUCAAUGAGCUUCAUGUCUGAGGAAAACAACAUGCAAAUAAACAAAACUAGACAGGAUCCAUUGGAGGUAUCCAGAGGAAAGGAUCUGAAGGAAGCCAAAGAAGAUAGGAGUUGGAAAUGAGUAAGGAGAAUGUUCUAGAGUGGGGAACUACUGAAAAUUCCUUGAGUCGGAUCGAAAAUCCAAUGUCACUGGAUUAUGGAGUGUAUGGCAACUGAGUGGAGGGUGUAAUUGAGUGGGAAUAAAUCUCUGGUAGAAGACCACAAGCAGACUACCAACAUAUUUCAAGCCUGAGAUUGCUGCCAGCCAUCAGGACUCUACUUCCUUCAGUCUUCAAUUCUGCAUUCCACUGAGUAUCCCUGCCUCACGUCAUUGACUAAGAGGGAAAGGAGGCUGCUCACCCAGAGCCAGAGACCAUGGAGAAAACUACUCCAUGGGUGCCUGUCCCUGUUCAGGGUGCACACAAGACAUCUCCCACAAAGACCCUAUCCCGGAAAGCCCCCAAAAUGUGAGGGAUGUAGAAGACCCUUACCCAAAAUGACUACUCAGAGGUCACUCAGUAGAAGGCAGAAAAGUUGUUUAUUAAAAACCUCUGGAGAAUGAGCUGUCCCAUUGCGCUGUAAGAAAGAGAAAGCUCACAGUAGGAGGGCUAAAGAAGUAGUAAAGAUAAAUAGCUUUUAUACAAGAAAUUACAUCACAAGUAAGAGAGCAUUGAGAAGGGGAGGGGGAGGCAUCUAAUUGGUUGUUGUUAUUUGGGGAGAUUGGAAUGGAAGGUUUCUGUUUCCCCAAAAUCUCCUGAUUUCUAAGAAACAGAAAAUCAGGCCUUCAGGUUUAAUCAAGCAGAUAGUGGUCAAGCUAAUAGACUAAAUAUCGAUAAAUGUCAAAUACCAAUAAUUGUCAUCAGCUCAGGUUAAGGAAAUAUGUUUAUAGCUGGCCAAGGCUCAAGUAAAUAUGAGCUUGCAUAUAUUAUACAGGUCAUAGGGGAAACACAGAAAUAAUGAAAAUAAAAUACAGAAAAAAGAAUUCAUACAUUCCUGUAAGUUCUUCACCUUAUCUUUCUAUUCCCCAUAGUGUAAAUGUGUAUAUAUUUCACAUAUAUACAUGCAUACACACACACACACACACACACACACACAUACACAUAAGCAUACAAAACAAACAUCAACUUUUAGCCAUGUGUAAGGAAGGAAGGAACAAGGGAAAAGAAAAAAUAGGUUUCAAUUUGGAAUAUGAGUCCAUCUUUUCUCUGUUUGAAAGUGGGUAACAUUUCAGCAUGAGUCCUUCGGAAUUGUGUGUUGAUCAGUUACUAAGCCUUUCAAAUGUAAUUAUCUUCACAGCUCACUUCAUUUUGGAAGUUCAUAGAACUCCUCUCAGAUUUUUCUGAAACCAUCUCCUUCAUCAAUCAUAAACCAAAACUUCUUCAAUCAUUCUCCAAACAUAAAAAGAGCUGCUAUGAAUAUUUUUGUACAUAUGAAUCUUUUCCCCUUUCUUUGAGAUAUAGGCCUAGUAGUGUCAUUUUGACCUUAGUAGGGUCAAAAUAUAUGCACUUUUAUAAUAAAUAAAUAACAAAUAUAAUAAAUAGUAGUGGCAUUGACCCUAGUAAGAUCAAAAUAUAUAAUUAUAAUAAAUACCCUUUUGGACAUAAGGCUAUUUAUUAUAUCAUAUGAUAUUACAUAUGAAAUAAAAGUAUGCAUAUAUUUUCCAAAUAGGUCUCCAGAAUAGCAGGACCAGUUCUUAGCUCCACCAACAGUGCAUUAGUACACCUAUUUUUCUUUCAGCAUCUGUUAUUUUCCCUUUUUGUCAGAUUAGCAAGUCUGAUAUGCAUCAGGUGAUACCUCAGACUUAUUUUAAUUUGCAUUUCUCUUAAUGAUUUAGAGUAUUUUUUCAUGCAGCAAUUGAUAACUUGGAUUUUUUCCUCUGAAUUGCCUUUUAUCUUUUAAUCAUUUUAUCAGUUGGGGAAUGGCUCUUUUUCUUGUAAAUUUGACUCAGUUCUAUAUAUAUUUCAGAAGAAAAACCUUUGUUAGAACAGUUUACUACAAAAAUGUUUUUCCCAGUUUCUGUUUUUUUUUUUUCCCUAAUUUUAGCUUUAUUUUAUUUGUACAAAUGCUUUUUAUUUUUAUGUAAUCAAUAUUGUUCAUUUUAUCUCCCAUGAACCUCUUUAUUUUUUGUUUGGUCAUGAACUCUAACCACAGAUCUAAUAGAUAAAUUCUUCCAUGAACCACUAAUUUGCAUAUGAUGUUGCCUGUUUUAUCUAAAUCAUAUACCCAUUUUGAGCUUUUCUUGGUAUAUGGUAUAAGUUAUUGUUCUGUGCCUAGUUUCUACCACACUACAAUUUUCUCAACAGUUUUUGUUGAGUAAUGGAUUCUUGUCCUAAUAGCUUGGAUCUUUGAACUUAGCAAACACUGUGCUGAUUUGCUUCUAUAUAUUAUGUGCCUAAUCUGUUCCACUGUUCAAUCUCUCUAACUUCAUACACAGUACCAAAUUGUGUUGACAGUUACAGCUUGAUACUAUAGUUUUGUGCACCUCAUCACUUCCCCCCAAAAGAGCUGUUUACCUCAGUUUGAGAUCUGAUAUUGCUAGGACUCCUUCCCAUUUUUUUGUCUUUGAUUAUCUUGAUGUUCCUGACUUUGUAUUUUUCCUGAAGAAUUUUGUUACCUUUUUUUUUUCUAAAGCACUAUAUAAGGUAAUUCUUUGGAAGUUUGGUAUGACAAUGGAUAAGUAAUUUAAUAAAUAUUGUCAUUUUUAUCAUUUAGUUUGGUAUACAGCUGAGCAAUUACUAUCUCUAUAAUUAUUUAGGUCUUUAUAUGAAGAGUGUGUUUUAAUUGUAUUCCGAAUUCCAGUGUGAAGAUUAGAAGGUAUGCUCCCAAGUAUUUUAUACUGUCUGUGUUUAUUUUUAUUAGAAUUUUUCUAACUCUUCCUGCUGAAUUUUCUUAGUAAUAUGUAGAGUUACAGUCCUUCACUGUUAUAACUACUUUCUAAUUUUAAUUAAUUUUACUUUUCUUUAAGAAUUUUGACGCUUGUGUUACUACUGGCCUUAUAUCCCAAAGAGAUAUAAAGAAGGGAAAGGGACCUAUAUGUGCCAAAAUGUUUGUGGCAACCCUUUUUGUAAUGGCUAGAAACUGGAAAACGAAUGGAUGCCAUCAAUUGGAGAAUGAUUGGGUAAACUGUAGUAUAUGAAUGUUAUGGGAUAUUAUUGUUCUGUAAGAAAUGACCAGCAGGAUGAACAUAGAGAGGGUUGGAAAGACUUACAUGAACUGAUGCUGAGUGAAAUGAGCAGAACCAGAUCAUUAUACACAUCAACAACAAUACUAUAUGAGGAUAUAUUCUGAUGGAAGUGGGUAUCUUCGACAAGGAGAAGAUCUAAUUAAGUUCCAAUUGACCAAUGAUGGACAUAAUCAGCUACACCCAAAGAAGGAACACUGGGAAAUGAAUGUGGUUUUCCCAGUUAUUUUUUUUCCCAGGUUAUUUUUACCUUCUGAAUCCAAUUCUUCUUUUGCAACAAGAGAACUGUACAGUUUUGCACACAUAUAUUGUAUCUAGGAUAUACUAUAACAUAUUUAACAGGUAUAGUUAAUCUAGAGGAGGGGAUGGAGGGAGGGAAGGGAAAAGUCGGAACAGGAGUGCAAGGGAUAAUGUUGUAAAAAAUUACCCAUACAUAUGUUCUGUCAAUAAAAAGUUAUAAUUUUUUUAUAAAGAA